rnacentral:rRNA from 1 species
CCUACGGGGGGCAGCAGUGAGGAAUAUUGGUCAAUGGGCGCAAGCCUGAACCAGCCAAGUCGCGUGAGGGAUGACGGUCCUAUGGAUUGUAAACCUCUUUUGUCGGGGAGCAAGGCCCGCCACGUGUGGCGGGAAGGAGAGUACCCGAAGAAAAAGCAUCGGCUAACUCCGUGCCAGCAGCCGCGGUAAUACGGAAGGUCCGGGCGUUAUCCGGAUUUAUUGGGUUUAAAGGGAGCGUAGGCCGGCUUUUAAGUCAGCUGUGAAAGUCCGCGGCUCAACCGUGGAAUUGCAGUUGAAACUGGAGGCCUUGAGUGCACACAGGGAUGCCGGAAUUCAUGGUGUAGCGGUGAAAUGCGUAGAUAUUAGGAGGAACACCAGUGGCGAAGGCGGUCUGCUGGACAGCAACUGACGCUGAGGCGCGAAAGCGUGGGGAGCAAACAGGAUUAGAUACCCCAGUAGUC